GUUCAAAUGGCCAUGCCCCUCUCAUAGGGGUUAUCUACUGCGAGAGAGUUGAAGAAUUUUAUGCUUCUCAUUAAAAUCAGGAGAUUGGCUAGCAGUCAAAGGAACAAGAUCCUCCUCUCCCCCCUCCAGUCCUCAACAUUUCAACUGAAAAGAAAAGCAUUUGCAUUGCCGUUUUAUAAAAUCCCAUUAAGGGAUUAGAGAUUCGAGAUAUUUCCUGAAGUCUAGGAGAGAACGAGAAUGAAGGUUCCUGAACCAGCAGUUGAAUCAUAAUUCACGCAUCCCUGACAGAUCUGGAGCAGUUCGGGGAGGUAUGGAAAUGAAGAAGAAAAGGUGGAUGCAGCUCCUGGAAAAAACUGACAAGAUCUUAGUGUAGAGAAAUACUUUUAACGCCUUAAGGAAAGCACAAAAGAGAAAGCAUCCAUCGCUGCUGCAAAGAAAGCUUCCCUGAUUGCAUUAUCAUAGAAAUAUCCUCCUCCUCCCCCACCUUCUGCCCCUCGCCUUAACUGUCAUGCCAUGCUGGUUAUAUACAAUUUCACUGCCAGAGUGAAACAUUCAUGUGCAGGUUGCUCUCACUUAUUUGUUGACACUCAGAAUCUUGAUAUCUCGGAGAGUGAUACCACUUCUGUGAGUUUCUCUUGCUAUUUACACAUCCAAGUUGUCCAUAUUGGCUUAUAAGCCCCAGUGGAGCAGAGACGAUCCCCACUGAGCUGGUUUAACAGAUCAAUAAACACAAAUAUUCUUCCCCUACCUUGUAAUCUAAAUCCUCCUUCCCUAUGUGCUUUCUCGUGCGCGUCCAAGUUAGAAAUUAUUAGAAGCUACUGUGUACUUUUUGAAACCCAUCAAGCUAUCACUGAUGCAAAAGGGAAACAGCCCCCUUCAGCUGCUAGUGAAAAGCCCUUCUGUUAGGCAAACUCCCACUCUAUAAUUAGCUCACAUUGCUUUCAAUCUCUGGCAGCAGUAACAAAUAGGCCAUUUCAAACACGAAGAGUUGAAAAAGGUACACGGAAAAUGAGCACGAGAGCACACAGCUACUGAUGGGGACAUUUACUUCCACAUACUGCACAUAGUGCAUAUCUUGUCAUUUUUAUCUGCUAAGAGUAGGCAGAGAACUGAGAAAUGGACAUGGCAUCCGGCUCUGAAUUGCAACUAUCUUUUUGGAGAGCAUUUGCCUAAGAGAUUGACUGCAUCAUAAUAAAGCAUCCUGUUUUCCCAGUAUAAUCAGAACUGUUUUUAACACACUACAGAUGAUAACCCUUUUGCUUAGCUAUACCAUACCUGAGUCUUUCGCUAGGCUCUCCUUUCUUUCUAGAAUGCCAUGUAUAGCUGUCAUGCCAUUAAAAAGAGCACCACAGUACCCUGACGCUGCAUCCAGUCUCCUAACCCGGGGGAGCCCCAGGGCAUCCAAGCUCAUCCAGGGUUUAUCAAGAUCCAUCAGGGAGCAGCAAGCUCAACUAAGCAGAGGGAGGGCUAAGGGAGGGGAGCUAACAUCUACUGAGAGCCUGCCUUGCUGCAAGAGCUGCAGCUUUGUCCCCUGGAGCCCUCACAACCACACUAGGAGAUGUACUUUCUCCAUUUUGCAUGUGAGAAAACUAAUGAUGAAAAAGUUUAACAAACUGACCAAUGGCACAUGACUUUUCAAGCCCAGAUCUGGAGUCAAAUGCCAUGCUCUUUCCACUGUACCACAUUGCUCUGAUUCUGGAGCAGGGCACGGGGUAUGGGAACAUGAGAAAUUGUG